GAUGAACGCUGGCGGCGUGCUUAACACAUGCAAGUCGAACGAUCAAGACGAGAUACGUGAACUUCGGUUCAACUUUCAAUUCGGAUCAGGGGCAGACGGGUGAGUAACGAGUGAGCACGCUACCUCUUACCAAGGGUUAGCCCCGGUAAAACGUGAUUAAUAUCAUAUUACACAUUCAUCAGGCUACCUAAGAAUUUUAAAGAUACGGCGGCAAGAGAUGGGCUGGCGUCUCAUUAGGUAGUUGGAGAGGGCACGGCCCACCAAAGCGACGAGGGGUAACCGGCCAGGGAGGGUGAGCGGUCACAUGGGAGCUGAGACACGGUCCAAACUCCUACGGGAGGCAGCAGUGGAGAAUAUUGCACAAUGGAGGGAACGCUGAUGCAACGACGCCGCGUGAGCGAUGAAGGAAUGCGUGUCGUAAAGCUCUGUUCUAUAGGAAGAAAAUGACGGUACCAUAGGAGAAAGCCCCGGCUAAAUACGUG
rnacentral:rRNA from 1 species